rnacentral:rRNA from 1 species
CCUACGGGCGGCAGCAGUGGGGAAUAUUGGACAAUGGGCGAAAGCCUGAUCCAGCCAUGCCGCGUGUGUGAAGAAGGCCUUCGGGUUGUAAAGCACUUUCAGUGGGGAAGAAAGCCUUGGGGCUAAUACCCUCGAGGAAGGACAUCACCCACAGAAGAAGCACCGGCUAACUCCGUGCCAGCAGCCGCGGUAAUACGGAGGGUGCGAGCGUUAAUCGGAAUUACUGGGCGUAAAGCGCGCGUAGGCGGUCUGAUAAGCCGGUUGUGAAAGCCCCGGGCUCAACCUGGGAACGGCAUCCGGAACUGUCAGGCUAGAGUGCAGGAGAGGAAGGUAGAAUUCCCGGUGUAGCGGUGAAAGGCGUAGAGAUCGGGAGGAAUACCAGUGGCGAAGGCGGCCUUCUGGACUGACACUGACGCUGAGGUGCGAAAGCGUGGGUAGCAAACAGGAUUAGAUACCCCAGUAGUC